AUUCUGGCUCUCUACAAUACACUAUUGACUAAAUGGAAAGAACAAUAAUAAAAAAAUGAAAUUGAAACCUGUUCAAUUAUAAUGGCUCCAGAGUGGGAGAUCUACUAAGUAUCAUCAUAAAGAAGCGAAUGAACCCAUUGUCUUAAUGUUUAUAAACCCAAAGAUCCCUACUGUCAAGAUAAGAAUUACUAUUCAACAAAAACUGGAAAGCAACAUGGCAGAAACUAGGUACAGAACAACAGCUCAUGACAUAUUCCAACAUUUGCUUCAAAUGAAUAUCAUAAAUAAAUUAAAGGAACAAGG
rnacentral:lncRNA from 1 species